rnacentral:rRNA from 1 species
GAUGAACGCUGGCGGUCUGCUUAACACAUGCAAGUCGAACGGUGAACCCUCGGGUUCAUAGUGGCGGACGGGUGAGUAACUCGUGAGAAUCUGCCUUCCGGUCGGUGACAACAGCGGGAAACUGCUGCUAAUACCCGAUGUGCCUAAGGGUGAAAGAUUAAUUGCCUUAAGAUGAGCUCGCGUCCGAUUAGCUAGUUGGUGGGGUAAAAGCGUACCAAGGCGACGAUCGGUAGAGGGUCUGAGAGGAUGAGCAGCCACACUGGGACUGAGACACGGCCCAGACUCCUACGGGAGGCAGCAGUGGGGAAUUUUCCGCAAUGGGCGAAAGCCUGACGGAGCAAGACCGCGUGGGGGAUGAAGGCUCUUGGGUUGUAAACCCCUUUUCUCAGGGAAGAAGUUCUGACGGUACCUGAGGAAUCAGCAUCGGCUAACUCCGUGCCAGCAGCCGCCGUAAAAC